UACAGGGGGUGCAAACGUUGCUCGGAAUUACUGGGCGUAAAGCGCGUGUAGGCUGACCGGAAAGUCGGGCGUGAAAUCCCUGGGCUCAACCCAGGAACUGCACUCGAAACUCCCGGUCUUGAGUGGUGGAGAGGGAAGUGGAAUUCCUGGUGUAGAGGUGAAAUUCGUAGAUAUCAGGAGGAACACCAGUGGCGAAGGCGGCUUCCUGGACACCAACUGACGCUGAGACGCGAAAGCGUGGGGAGCAAACAGG
rnacentral:rRNA from 1 species